rnacentral:rRNA from 1 species
UAAAACAUAGUGUUAAUGCACUGGAUCCCAUUAAAACUUUGCAGUUAAGUGUGCUCGAGCUAGAUUAGUAUUGGGAUGGGUGACUAGCUGAGAAGUCCUAGUGUUUUAC